UUAGGAUAAACAUUUAUUUAAUUCACUCACACACAGGCCCAUAUUUGGAAAUCAGUCUACAUUUCAACUCUUAAGUAUUUUCCACCAACAAUUAUAUGUUCUGCAACAAAAUAAAACCAUAAAAGCCAAGGGACAGAAAUGUGGAAGAUUCAUUACUUGACAAAAUCGUUUUUCAGCACCCUCAUGAGAAUUGUGGCAAGGAAUCCAGUCAAGAGAAGAACUGUCACACAUGAGUUGAUAAUUGAGAACCAAUGGAUCUCCAGGUGAUGAGGUAACGAAGAAGUCUGGGAGUACUUCUCCAUCCUCUUCUCAAAUGGUGUGCUGGUCUCCUUCCACUUCACAGAGUAUAAGAAUUCUACUUCGGUAUCCCUGUCCUCUGUCACAUCCAACAAUGUAUUGGGAUCGGUGUGGACAAUAAUCUCAAUCACCCGGUCAUUGUUGUACAGAACAUCGAAGUGGAAGCGCUUGUAGAGGUAGUACUUGUACUCCCCAAGGUCCUUGCCUUCCUUGUCAACCUUACCAAUGAAUCCCCAGAGUGGGAGAUCAUC
rnacentral:lncRNA from 1 species